GCAGAAGACCCCGAGCCUGGACCAGGCGGCCCGAAAACAUCAUGGCUAGUGUGCGGCCGCCCCGGGUCCCGAGUAGCGCAUGACGUCAGCGGCCGUGGUCAGGCCGAAGAACGCCUGCGCAUCUUGGCUCCGCCUGCCAGAGUAAUCCAGUUUAGAAAUUAAUUACUCCAGUCACAAGUACUGAAGACCAGAAUAAAAAGCUUUUGCUCCCAAAGACUUUGGCACCAUCAAAUUUUUCAGUGGAAAUGACAUUAAAGGAGGAAUCGUUUCUGCCC